CCGUGGAGUGAUUUGUCUGGUUUAUUCCGUUAACGGGCGAGACCGCAGCCUGCUAAAUAGUUUGACUCACUGCGAGUGGGUUUGAACUUCUUAGAGGGACAACUCCGGUCAUAACCGGGAGGAAGUUUGCGGCAAUAACA
rnacentral:rRNA from 1 species